GCAGAAGUUUUCCCCCUUGGUCGGUGGCGGAGCUGCUGAGCGCGAUAGUAGCAGCUCCGGCGGCAGCAACAUUGACUACGAGGAAUGGCGGCGGCUGCCGCAGGACCUGCAGCAUCCCAGAGGUGCAGAUUUUAAUUUCAGUGACUGAAUUAAAAGGUGUCAAGAAGCUCAGAAUGUCUUAUAAAAUCUGCUUUAGGAGACAGAACUGGGCUUGAAGCCUUGUCUUUCAAAGACAAAAUCCAUGCAAGACCAAGUGUUGGAGCAGGCGAUGGAUAUGAUCUAAAAGUCAAAAUAGUGAUGGAGAAAAAGGUUGUCUUUUCCUGUACUUACUUAAGAAAUUGUUAGGUAUUUCAUGACACUGAAACAGAGCAAUAAUUGAUGUAUUCAACAGUCCACCUCUGUAUGAUGAUGUGAAAGUGCAAUUUUUCUCUUUGCUCUUGGAUCACUUUACUGGAAUCCUUGGAUUAGUUUUCAGCUUUCUUCUGAAUAUUGAUGAGCCUCCUUGGCAUCCAGAUCCUGUAUUCUACAUCUGUCAUUUCAGCCAUUUCCAACUGGUUAAGAACCACUGCUAGGGAGCUAGUGGACUCAUUUGGAGGGAGCCUCCCCUUGCUCUGCACCAAUCCCAGGUGGACAGCUGUCCUUCCUUACUCCCCUAUGCUCUCCAUGACUCACCACAGCUUCCCUGAUGAAUCCCAACACAGCCUGCUGGAUGAUCAACCUGAAGAGCUUGUGUUCACUCACCACUCUGUCUCCUCUUGUGAAGGCUGCGCACACUAGCUGCUUCUAGUCAGCCAUCUUGGCACUUCAGAUACUUGUUUUCUUAAGUAGAAUUUAGUAACUUGGAAUGGAAUCAUCCAAAACUUAAAAGCAGACAGUUUAACUAUUUUUUAAAAUAGAGGGAAAGAGGUGGAGGGAGAAAGUAAUUCUAGUGAGCCAAGUUCCAUAACUUCAGAGCAUAGAAAUAUUUUUGUCACCUUACCUAUGGUGAAAUUAUUUUACAUGAGGUGUCUUGCUGACAGAAAACAAUGCUUGUUGCAAUAAAACCACUGCCUUGAAACACUACUAUACAUAACUCUUUAACAUUCCUGACAGUUGUUUCCCAACAUGGAUGUAAAGAACUUCAAUGAAAUUCAUCAGACUCAAAUAUUAAGUAAAUAAUUUAAUGAUAGAACACUGAAAUUUCUUUAGACACAGUAUUUUCAAGUUAUAUUUCUGCCUGGAGUACAGAUAUGAAAUAGCACAAACUGUACUCUGAAUUAAGCAAACAGAAUGAAUAAAAAAAAAAUAUUCUCCCAA
rnacentral:lncRNA from 1 species